GAAGAAGCACUGGCUAACUCUGUGCCAGCAGCCGCGGUAAUACAGAGAGUGCAAGCGUUAAUCGGAAUCACUGGGCGUAAAGCGCGCGUAGGUGGAUAUUUAAGUCGGAUGUGAAAGCCCUAGGCUUAACCUAGGAACUGCACUCGAUACUGAGUAUCUCGAGUAUGGUAGAGGGAAGUGGAAUUUCCGGUGUAGCGGUGAAAUGCGUAGAUAUCGGAAAGAACACCAGUGGCGAAGGCGGCUUCCUGGACUAAUACUGACACUGAGGUGCGAAAGCGUGGGGAGCAAACAGGAUUAGAGACCCUGGUAGUCCACGCCGUCAACGAUGAGAACUAGCUGUUGGGGAGUUUACUUUCUAGUAGCGAAGCUAACGCGUUAAGUUCUCCGCCUGGGGAGUACGGCCGCAAGGUUAAAACUCAAAGAAAUUGACGGGGGCCC
rnacentral:rRNA from 1 species